rnacentral:rRNA from 1 species
CGAUUAGAGUUUGAUCCUGGCUCAGGACGAACGCUGGCGGCGUGCCUAACACAUGCAAGUCGAACGAGGUCCAUUCAGUAGCAAUACUGGAGAAGACCAAGUGGCGAACGGGUGAGUAGCACGUGAGCAACCUACCCCGAAGACCGGGACAACACCGGGAAACCGGUGCUAAUACUGGAUAUCCCCAUCGAAUCGCAUGGUUUGGUGAGGAAAUGGAUUCCGCUUCGGGAGGGGCUCGCGGCCUAUCAGCUAGUUGGUGAGGUAACGGCUCACCAAGGCGUCGACGGGUAGCUGGUCUGAGAGGACGAUCAGCCACACUGGGACUGAGACACGGCCCAGACUCCUACGGGAGGCAGCAGUGGGGAAUCUUGCACAAUGGGCGAAAGCCUGAUGCAGCAACGCCGCGUGAGGGACGAAGGCUUUCUGAGUUGUAAACCUCUUUCAGCAGGGACGAUUAUGACGGUACCUGCAGAAGAAGCACCGGCCAACUACGUGCCAGCAGCCGCGGUAAUACGUAGGGUGCAAGCGUUGUCCCGGAUUUAUUGGGCGUAAAGAGCUCGUAGCGGCUUGGCAAGUCGGAUGUGAAACCUCCAGCUCAACGUGGAGUCCCCAUUCAAUACUGCCAUGGCUAAAGUUUGGGAGGG